CACCUCUCUCCUCGUCAUCGGCCUGAAAAGGGCAAAGGUUGAAUUCGCCUUUGGUUUACGCAGCAGAUGCUCAAUCAAAUGGGGUAAAGCAUUAAUUGCGUUACCCUCUCUCCACCAUAGCACAACCAAACAAGUUGUGAGGUUGAGGAGCGAAGGGGUCUCCAAAGGUUCAAUCUCGAUCAAGGCUGCGCUAAAAAAAGAUUGUGUUCCAAAGAUUCCAUACAGACCACAUUUCUAGCUUGAGCUAGUUAGCUUGAUCGGAUCUGAGGGUGAGCUUCUAUUCAUGCCAUGUCACCUGAAGAUCUCUCUUUCUACAUGUCUACUUCCAUUCCAUACAUUAUUUGUUAUUAUAUUUGAGAUAUACUUCAUUCUUUAGACAUUGUUGGUUAGAGUCUUUUUAUGAUGACUUAC